rnacentral:rRNA from 3 species
UACGUAGGGUGCGAGCGUUAAUCGGAAUUACUGGGCGUAAAGCGUGCGCAGGCGGUUUGUUAAGAUAGGCGUGAAAUCCCCGGGCUCAACCUGGGAACUGCGUUUAUGACUGGCAGGCUAGAGUAUGGCAGAGGGGGGUGGAAUUCCACGUGUAGCAGUGAAAUGCGUAGAGAUGUGGAGGAACACCGAUGGCGAAGGCAGCCCCCUGGGCCAAUACUGACGCUCAUGCACGAAAGCGUGGGUAGCAAACAGG